rnacentral:rRNA from 1 species
UACGUAGGGUGCAGGCGUUAAUCGGAAUUACUGGGCGUAAAGCGUGCGCAGGCGGCUUGCAAGACAGAUGUGAAAUCCCCGGGCUUAACCUGGGAACUGCAUUUGUGACUGCAUGGCUGGAGUGCGGCAGAGGGGGAUGGAAUUCCGCGUGUAGCAGUGAAAUGCGUAGAUAUGCGGAGGAACACCGAUGGCGAAGGCAAUCCCCUGGGCCUGCACUGACGCUCAUGCACGAAAGCGUGGGGAGCAAACAGG